rnacentral:Y_RNA from 1 species
AGCUGGUCUGACUGCAGUGGUGUUUGCAACUAACAGAUCACAACUAGUUACAGAUUUCUGUGUUCCUCCUCCACUCUUACUGCUUCACUUGACUAGCCUAAA